rnacentral:lncRNA from 1 species
UGAUUGUCAGGCCACCUUAAGCCACAGUACGGAAGAAGCUGUGCUGCCUGUGAGCCCCGUCCAAGGACGUUAAAAGAAGAAGUCAGGCCUCAAAGCCACGGUUUGAGCAAACCGUGCUGCCUGUAGCUCCGUCGUGGGGACGUAAAACCUGGGAGGCUGCAAACUGUGGAAGCUGUACGCACAGUGUAGCAGACUAGUGGUUAGAGGAGACCCCUCCCAUGACACAACGCAGCAGCGGGGCCCGAGCACUGAGGGAAGCUGUACCUCCUUGCAAAGGACUAGAGGUUAGAGGA